UACGUAGGGUGCGAGCGUUAAUCGGAAUUACUGGGCGUAAAGCGUGCGCAGGCGGUCUGUUAAGACCGAUGUGAAAGCCCCGGGCUCAACCUGGGAACUGCAUUUGAAACUGGCGGGCUUGAGUAUGGCAGAGGGGGGUGGAAUUCCGCGUGUAGCAGUGAAAUGCGUAGAGAUGCGGAGGAACACCGAUGGCGAAGGCAGCCCCCUGGGCCAAUACUGACGCUCAGGCACGAAAGCGUGGGGAGCAAACAGG
rnacentral:rRNA from 1 species